rnacentral:rRNA from 1 species
CAGUAGCCGCGGUAAUACGGAGGGUGCGAGCGUUAAUCGGAAUUACUGGGCGUAAAGCGUACGCAGGCGGUUUGUUAAGUCAGAUGUGAAAUCCCCGAGCUUAACUCGGGAACUGCAUUUGAAACUGGCAGGCUAGAGUCUCGUAGAGGGGGGUAGAAUUCCAGGUGUAGCGGUGAAAUGCGUAGAGAUCUGGAGGAAUACCGGUGGCGAAGGCGGCCCCCUGGACGAAGACUGACGCUCAGGUACGAAAGCGCGGGGAGCAAACAGGAUUAGAUCCCGCGUAGUCCCUGUCUCUUAUACA